rnacentral:RNase_P_RNA from 1 species
AAAGUCGGCCAGGCAAUCGCUGGAUACUUCGGUAUCGGGAGGAAAGUCCGGGCUCCGCAGGGCAGGAUGCCAGCUAACGGCUGGGUGCUAUAAGUCGCAAGACCCAAGGCAACGGAAAGUGCAACAGAGAACAGACCGCCGAUGGCGUCGCAAGACGCACAGGUAAGGGUGAAACGGCGAGGUAAGAGCUCACCGCGUCCACGGUAACGGCGGACGGCACGGUAAACCCCA